GCUGCUGAAGGAAUGUUUGGGGCUGUGCUAGAAGGGUGCUCUAAGGACAGUGCUAGAUCAGUGUCUGAGGAGAAGCAACACCUUGGGAAAGCAAUAUAUAACGCCUUGUUGACUAGUUUCAAAUUGCCAAGAUUCAGACACAGGAAACGUUUCCACUGGCCCUCCACUGCAAUUAGAGAGCACCUUUCAUCUGAGUAUCUCCAGUGCUUUCCAAAGAAUUCCAGGUCUGUCUGACAGAAGGCACCUGAUUGUGCUGCUGAACUCACCAGAGAGGUGCUAGCAGGCCUUUGAUUCAACGGGAUGUUCAAGAAACAGCAGCAGUACUGCAGCAGACCCAGUGAAGGGAAGAAUCACUCUGACUGUGCAUCAUUCAUAUCAAACUCAAAAGGCUGCAACUGAUAUUCCGAAUUGCCAGGUUAUGGGGGAAGUAACCAGCUCCGGAAAUGGAGGAAGAUUAAAACAAUGGGUUCCACAUACGGUAGAGCAAAUAUCACAUUCAGGCUUAGGAAAGCCUUGACAUCUCAUAGAUGAAAUGUUUGCACGUUGCUUCAUAACAAGCCUCUUUGUAGCUCUGUAU